rnacentral:rRNA from 1 species
UACGUAGGGCGCAAGCGUUAUCCGGAAUUAUUGGGCGUAAAGAGCUCGUAGGCGGUCUGUCGCGUCGGAUGUGAAAACUCGGGGCUCAACCCCGAGCCUGCAUUCGAUACGGGCAGACUAGAGUUCGGUAGGGGAGACUGGAAUUCCUGGUGUAGCGGUGAAAUUCGUAGAUAUUGGGAAGAACACCGGUGGCGAAGGCGGCGACCUGGUUCGUGACUGACGCUGAGGCGCGAAAGCGUGGGGAGCAAACAGG